rnacentral:rRNA from 1 species
UACAGAGGUCCCAAGCGUUGUUCGGAUUCACUGGGCGUAAAGGGUGCGCAGGUGGUCGGGUAAGUCUGAUGUGAAAUCCCGCAGCUUAACUGCGGAAUGGCAUUGGAUACUAUUCGGCUAGAGGGUUGGAGGGGGGACUGGAAUUCUCGGUGUAGCAGUGAAAUGCGUAGAUAUCGGGAGGAACACCAGUGGCGAAGGCGACUUCCUGGCCUGUUCUUGACGCUGAGGCGCGAAAGCUAGGGGAGCAAACGGG